rnacentral:lncRNA from 1 species
AAAUGAAAUCACAAGUGCACCAAAAUUUAUGCUCAAUAUAUAUUCUCACAUGCAUCUUCCACGCAUAUUUUAUUACUGGGUCACAUCACUGUACAUUGUUCAACAUGAUGGAGUAGACAAAUUCUAGAAAUCGCAUACUAUGCAAUGACAACCCCAAAGGGAACCGUGGACAGGUGCACAAUAAGCUUUCUUUGUGUGAGCUCCCCAGGAUCCUCGGCAGGCAUUCUGGCAUGCUAAUUCAUCGCAAGUAGCGCCAUAAAAAGGAACGUGCAGUUCACAGUGCAUUUCUGUAGACACGAAUAUACAGAAUUAAAAGAAGUCCAAAUUGAGAAAGUUCAAAGGAAUCCAUGCAGUUCAGCUGACAAUAUUGAUUUACUCUGGGUGGCAUCGGAAAGGAAUCAUACAUGGGGAUAGGGAUGACAAUUUCGUACCAGCAUGAGUAGAAUUUCCUAGCAGCAAAAGCACAAAAAGGCAAAGAAGAAUAGUUUUCUGCUCCAUAAGAUCAAUGCAAGCUGCUUUUUCUUGUUUAUGUUUGGGCGUCCAGAAGAAUACAUGAUGUUAUCUUUAUAUAUAGAUUUGUAGCUAGAGAAGAUUUACUCCCGAUUCACACAUAUAAGAUCAAAAAGAUGUGAUCGUAUCAUUGUAUUUACUCCCGUUCAUUCUAAUAAGAUCGAAAAGAUGUGAUCGAUCACUGCCCUUACUACCAGUUCACUCAAAUAAGAUUGUAAAGAUCUAACCAUAUCACUGCCCUCAUUUUGUACAAAUUUGUUCUAUCCCUUAAGGUAAGAUUGUAAAGAUCUUUCCAUAUCGAUGCUGAUAUAAAUUUGGGAGAUACACUAGAUUGUGCAUCACUGGAUCUGAUCCGACAACAUUAAACCUAAUAAUGUAGCUAGGCGCGCACCAACUACUCACUGGCAAUGAACCUUGUUUCGUGUGAUGCAAACCUUGACCAUAAACCUCGGUGCGACUAUGUGCCAUCCGCAGGCAGAAGUUUUUGGGCCGGCCCAGUAAGUCAGUAACCAGGUGGCCGUGCCAUGCUGAUGUCACACAUGUUUUUUCUUCACAUUUUUUUAAAAUUGCUUCAUUUUUUACUAUUGUUUAUAUUUUGAAAUAUUCUCUCUCUCUCUCUCUCCCUCUAUCUCUAUCUCUCUCUCUCCCUCUCUCUCUCUCUUUCACUCUCUCUACACACACACACUUUACAUAAAUUUUCAAAAAAUGUUAAUCAUGCAUUUAAAAAACACAUACGUUGACAUUUACAAAAUGUUUAUACAAUGUUCACUAUCUUAAAAAAUGUUCACGAGUUUAAAAAAAUGUACGUUUCAUGUACUUCAACUUUCGAACUUCUGGUGUCUUCCUGGAUAAAACCACCUGUCUGGUCUUUCAUGAGGCCUUCGGCCGGACCAUCCGGUCAUCUACUACUGGAAUGCACAGCUUUGGCUGCAACUUUUGCAUAUGACCACGGAUGAAGAUGAUCUAAACAUCAAAAUCAUCUGUUUCGAUGAUACGUAGACUUUUCAUGUCGAAAGCUUUAAUUGUGGUUUUGUCCAUGCCAAGAUAUGGUGUCAACGUAUAGAUUGCACAGAGGGAAACCUCGUGGAGAAUGUGGGACACAUGUCCCUUCAUCAAACUCCUCGUUUGGGUAUCCACCGGUGUUAUAAAGAGAGGCGAGCGCCCCACAGUGGUUUCUCACCCAUUUGGUGAAUUGCACUCCGCACCUGUUCUUCUUCUUUGAGAAAUCCUUCAUUGUUGCAAGCUUUGCUCUCUCAACUCUAAUCUUUCUCAUUUUCCUCGAACUCAACCAUAUCUGCUUAUGGCUCACAGCGAUGGGAGCUACAGCCUUAGUGGCACCAGCGGGCGGAGCGGAGGUGACCGGAGUACCUCUACCAACAAGGUCAAGAAAAAGCCAGCGGUGAAUUCCACUAUGUCUCGAAGGGCCAGUGGCCGAAUUAUAUUAGAUAGGGAAAAACAGAGAUAGUACAUGACGGUAACAGUCUAGGAGAACUAGAGCUGUUACACCACAUUACAGCACGGCACCAUAGUGGGAAAAUAAGCUGCAAGCAAAGCAUGCAGGCAAGCCAAUUCAGGCCGUCAGGUCGCUGAUACAGCCCGCGGAUCUCCAAAUGCCUAUAUCCUCAAUUACCAAGUCCCGGACUUUGUCUGCUAUGCAGCUCGCAUUAUCAAAUAUCCUCACGUUCCUUUCCUUCCAGAUCCUCCAGUGUACAAGAAUGACAAUUGUAUCAAAGUUCUUCCUCAUUGGUUUCGGGAUUCCCUCCCUCGCCUUCAGCCACCAGUCUUCAGUUGUACUGAAAUUGACUUCCGGGAUCAAGAAAUCAGCCCUAGUCCAUGUCCUGAACCGCAGCCAGACUAGUCUGGUAAACUGACAGUGCACAAAUAGGUGCGAGCAUGUUUCAGGCGCAGAAGAGCACAAAGGGCAGAUGCCAUUAGAUGGCCAAUUUCUUUUUUCCAAAUUGUCCGCCGUCAGACAUCUUCUGUGUACAGCAAGCCACAUAAAAAACUUGCACCGCGGCGGUGCUUUGGAUUUCCAGAUCAGCUUGUGGCAAGCAAAGCGGAUGUUCGCGAGGUAGAACAACUGAUAUACGCUCUUGACAGAGAACUGGUGGUCCUUGGUGAGCUUCCAGAUCGGUUGGUCCCUAGUUCCAGAAAUGAGUGUUGUAGACUGAACAAUCUCCCAUAUCCUUAGGUAUUGGGCCAAAGCAGUCAGUGUCAAACCUCCUGAGAUGUCUCUAACCCAGGCCCGGCCAAGCAAAGCAUCACUCACUGACUUGUCCUUGUUCUUGACAAACGAGAACAGAGCUGGUGCCGAGGUAGCAAUCGACUUUCCAUCCGGGAGCCAGUUGUCCGUCCAGAACUUCGCUCUCUCGCCAUUACCUAGGCUAAUGCGACAAGCUGUUCUGAAAAUGAGUUCCACGUCCUUCUCAUUAUCAUCAGGGAACAACAUCCAUGGUCUCUCCUCAGUGUCCCAUCUUAACCAAGGCCAUUUGCAACGCAGUGCCAUGCCGAACCACUUGAGGUUGAUAAUACCGAGCCCUCCCAUCUCCAAAGGCAAGCAAACUCUAGACCAAGGCAGUAGACCAUGACCACCAUUGAUCUCCUGUUCACCCUUCCAAAUAAAUCCACGGCAACGCCUAUUAAUGAUCUUGAUGACCCAAGCCGGCAAAGGGAGUACAGCCAUCCAGUGUAAGGGCAGGGCCAUCAGGACCGAGCGAGUGAGAGUUAGACGGCCCGCAACAGCAAGCAUCUUUGGCUUCCAUCCUUUCAAUUUUCCUGAGAAUUUAUCGAUGAGUGGGAGGAGAUCUUGGCGUCGCAAUCGGAAGAUGGAGAGGGGUAGGCCCAAAUAUUGGAUAGGGAAUUGUUGCCUCCUGCACUGGAAAUGCUCCUCCACAGCUGCUGCAACCCCUUCGUCGCAACGGAUGGUUGUGACAGUACUCUUAUACAAGUUAAUCCUCAGACCCGCGGCUUCACCAAGGAGCUUCAGAAUACUAGAUAUGGUCUGUAAGUCGGCAUGCACCGGCCUAAAAAACAAGAUAGCAUCAUCUGCGAAGAUGGAAGCCCUCGGCAUCUUGGAGUUGCAUCCAAAAUCAGAGAGUAACUUAUGCUGAACCGCCCACUGCAGCAUGCUGUGAAGAGUAUCCAUGGCAAUGAUGAACAAAGUAGGCGAAAGUGAAUCGCCUUGCCUGACUCCUUGAUCCAGAGAAAAUGGUUGGCCUAAUCCACCAUUAAUCAAAACAGAGGAGGAUGCAGUAGACAACAAUCCACAAACCCAAGAACACCACCUUCUGCCGAACCAUCUGUUCGUCAGCACUUCAAGAAUGAAUUCCCAAGACAGUGUAUCAAAAGCUUUGGAAAUGUCAAUUUUCAAAAGUAUGGCUUGCUUGCGUUUCUGAUGGAGCCAUCUGGCCGCAUUGCGCACAAAUUUGAAGUUCUCGUGCAUAUUGCGUUUGCAUAUGAAAUCAGUCUGGGCUUGUGAUAUUAAAGUGGGCAGGAGGGGGGCGACACGAACAGCUAGCACCUUGGCAAAAAUCUUUGCCACCCCAUGAAUGAGAUUAAUGGGCCUGAAAUCGCUAACCUCCAGGGAGUCUGAUUUCUUUGGCAGCAGAGUGAUAAUGGAGGAAUUGAGAUCACCAAAGGAGUAAAAACAACCAUCAUACAGAGCUCGCAUAAUUGACAUGAGAUCAGGUGCUAUGAUUUCCCAGCAUACCUUGAAGAAUAACCCCGAGAACCCAUCCGGCCCCGACGCCCUAUCCGAGGGCAUGUCCAUGAUGACCUUCUUAACCUCUUCCUCCGUGAAUGGGGUUUCCAGACUAUUGGCCAUAGCAGGCGACAAACGCCCCAAGUCGAGAUCCUCAAGGCUAAUGGUGCGGCCUCUGCGAUCUGUGGUGCCCAUCAGAUUACUGAAGAACUGGGUUGCCAUGUUCAGUUUGUCUUCAUUACUCGUGACCGUCAGGUUGCCCGCCCUGAGGUAAGGAAUCAAGUGUUUUCUGCGUCUCCCGUUAGCUUUCAUAUGGAAGUAUUUGGAGUUUGCAUCCCCCUCCUUCAGGUCACCACCCUUGCCCGCUGCCUCAAGCGCACCCUCUUCAGAGAAGCAAAUGCUAGACAUUUACCCUUGAGAAAAGCUUUUAGAUUACGCUCUUCCCUCGACAGCGGCCUGGCCUCUUGCGCCGCAUCGAGUCUCAAAAUGACCUCACUUGCGAUCAGGAACUGAAGAUUUAGCUGGCUCAGGUUCCUUUGACCCCAACUCCUUAAGGCUUUUGCCGUGCGUUGCAACUUGAUUUUGAAAAUCUUCAUCGGAUCGCGGCCACUAUGGGGAAGUGGUUUCCCUCCACCAUGUGUGACCAUCACUUGCAGCCUCUCGUUACGGAUGACUUCCUACCUCGGAAGGAGGUGUUGCCAUGAUUUACAGCGAGGAAGGAAGAGCCGGAUCACAGCACUGACGGGCGACGAUCGAGGCGACGAUCACGUAUUCUUCUUGGUGGCCGCCUCUCCCAUGAUCCAGCCACAAUGUGCGUGGAGAAAAGCAACAUGAAUCGUAUCGCCCCGAAGCCCACCACCCCAUCCGGCCGGCCAGGUGACGAUCAUCCCACACAGCAUGCCAACGAAGCUGUACAUUAGGAUCGAUCGACUGCCAGGCAUCAACUACCAGGCGCAGAAGAAAAAACUCCUCUACCGUGUGCCCAUGUCCUGCCUGAUCCGGCAGCGCGCGAUGAGUUUCAAUGCAGCCGCUGUCCCAUUGUCCACCCCUCUUAUGAUUGAUUUCUUCUACGCCAGAUGAAUCCAGAUUCCAGAGUAGCCUCCUCUUCACCGCCCAUAUUGUGCACCUCAGCAGUGGAGGCCGGCCAAGUUCUAACAUGCUAAUCUCGCAUAGUAAUCUGUUGUUCCCUGAGCUCCCUUUACUUUGCAAUGAUGACAGUUAGUAUAACAAUUCUCAGGUACGUAAGGAGCAAGCAGCUUCCUACUCAAUCCACAAGUAUCAUGCUUCUUGAUGUCUGCGUCCCAGGUAUAUAGAAGUAGUACAUCUUUUAUUGUGAAUCAUACAAAAGUAAUACAUGACUUGCUGCCUCCAAGCAAUUUAUAUGUGGUGAUUUUAUAUACUGUUUCCUGCACCAUUUGCUCUGUGCUGUACUAUUGAGGUUAAUGUUAUUCUAUGCUCAGACCAACUAUUAUCGAGGUAGCUCUAGGCACAUUGAAUUAACAUAGUGUGAUUCAUUUAUUUUUCCAUCCCUCUGGGACUCCUCUUUAUGCGCUGGUGCUUCUCACUGAAUCUUCAGCCAUCCCUUCGUUUCCAUAUCAGUAGCAUGCAAGCAACCCUGAUGGCUGAAGCUUGCUACUACAAGCCUGGAUGAUGCAUUCCAAAUAAGACUGCCAUGCAUUUUACUUUGCGACAUGUAUGUGAAUAUCUCCAUCUACUCAUCAUUAACUCUGCUUAGACGGACUCCUCCCGUGUGACCCCUGCGCGGCGACAGGGGGGAACCCUAGCGCCACCGCGUCCUCAUCCCUCCCCCGACCUCUCCUCCUCGCCGCCGCCGGGCAAAGCCCGGCCGGCGUCGGCGGCGGCGGGAUCUCUUCUCCCACGGCUCGCUGGAUCUGGCGCGGGCGGAUCGCGGCGGUGGUUGGCGGCACGCUGGAGGCGGGGCGCGCCGUCGCGGGCUUUGAUGGCGGCGGCCCGGCGAUCUGGAUGCGGUGCUGCUGGCGGCUCGCUGAUCUGCCGGUGCUCCAGGGUUCUGCCUGGUGGUGCUGGUGGUGACGGCGGCCCGUGCAUGAGAGUUGGAUCCCUUCGAACUGAUCUAGGUGAAAACUAGCCUUCGGCGUCCGCUAAGGUUGGCGGUGGCGGCGCUAUCUGUGUCGUUCCCUUCUUGAAGGCGUCACCGUGGAGAAGUUCAAGGCCACUCUGUGUUACCUCUGGGGGAAACUCUAGAUCGGAUAAUCGGAUGACAGCGGCGCACCGGUGUCGUUCCUCCCUUGGGGGCGUCAUUCUUGGAGGUACACACGUGAUCGAGGAACCAGAGGACGGAUUCUUUGGUUGAACGGUGCUUCAUCCUACACACUGAUGGCAACGGAUCUUGACGUGUGGCGCAGUGCAGAUUCAGAGUUCGCAGUGGGAGGAUGGACUCGCGCAGGCGGACGGCGCUGUCGAGCGUUGUGGUGGCGUCGAUGGUAGAGAGACCUGACACGGUACAUGCAACAGUACAGCUCUGAAGAUGGAUUGGUGGCAGGUGGAUGCGGCGGCCUCAUACCCGGCAGGCGUCCUGGUUGAGGAGUGCGCCGGACUGGUAGGUGCCCCAUACCCGGCAAGCGUCCUGGUUGGGACCUCAGGUCUUAGAUGUUUUGGUUUGGCUACGAUAUCUGUUUGGUAUUAUGCCCAGACUAUCUGCGCCCCUUCAUCAAUUGGAUAGGUGUAGCGACAGUUGUUGCUUAGACGGUGGCUUUAGUCUUGCUGUUGUAUGGCUUUGUAAGGUCUUGUGAGAAUAAUUAAUAAAGUGACCGUAUGCAUCGCCCAGAUGCAGAGGCCGGGGGUCAUCCUCCUUUUCUAAAAAAAAUGUGUGCUCGCAUUAGGAUCAAGUAGCUAACGUGAUGUUAAUUCUCAUAUGCCUGGUUCUUUAACCGCUGUCCAAAUGUUAAAAUCUUUAGUGCCUUAUUUCUAUUUAUAAUCCUUAUUUUUCAGUUACAUGAAUAAAAUAAGUUUCCCUCAGAGAAUUAUGAUCAAACUUUAGCAAAUUAAUUAUCAUAGUUGGACUAAUUGCACUAGUAGAAAAAUGGCCUAUAGUCCCGGUUGGUGAGGGCCUUUAGUCCCGUUUCAUGAACCGGGACUAAAGGGUCGGUACUAAUGCCCUGACCCUUUAGUCCCGGUUCAAUCCAGAACCGGGACAGAUGGGCCUCCACGUGGCCUGUCCGCUGAGCCCAGGCAGGAGGGCCUUUGGUCCCGGUUGGUGGCACCAACCGGGACCAAUAGGCAUCCACGCGUCAGCAUUUUUGUGGUUGGGGUUUUUAUUUUUNNNNNNNNNNNNNNNNNNNNNNNNNNNNNNNNNNNNNNNNNNNNNNNNNNNNNNNNNNNNNNNNNNNNNNNNNNNNNNNNNNNNNNNNNNNNNNNNNNNNNNNNNNNNNNNNNNNNNNNNNNNNNNNNNNNNNNNNNNNNNNNNNNNNNNNNNNNNNNNNNNNNNNNNNNNNNNNNNNNNNNNNNNNNNNNNNNNNNNNNNNNNNNNNNNNNNNNNNNNNNNNNNNNNNNNNNNNNNNNNNNNNNNNNNNNNNNNNNNNNNNNNNNNNNNNNNNNNNNNNNNNNNNNNNNNNNNNNNNNNNNNNNNNNNNNNNNNNNNNNNNNNNNNNNNNNNNNNNNNNNNNNNNNNNNNNNNNNNNNNNNNNNNNNNNNNNNNNNNNNNNNNNNNNNNNNNNNNNNNNNNNNNNNNNNNNNNNNNNNNNNNNNNNNNNNNNNNNNNNNNNNNNNNNNNNNNNNNNNNNNNNNNNNNNNNNNNNNNNNNNNNNNNNNNNNNNNNNNNNNNNNNNNNNNNNNNNNNNNNNNNNNNNNNNNNNNNNNNNNNNNNNNNNNNNNNNNNNNNNNNNNNNNNAAACUCAACACAAAUGAUGGUAAUAAAAUAAAAUUGUGAAUAUUGUUAUUUACGCACUUCAUAUUGUUUGUCGGAGUAGCCCCGCUCACAGGUCGUGUGGCGGAUGGACUCGCAAAUGUAGUAUCCACAGAAAUCAUUCCCUUGUUCCUGCCACAACCACUUUACAAGAAAUAGAGGUCAAUCAAACUGAUAAUUAGCAAGCAUGCUAAAUGGUAUUGAUGAAACUAGUGCUUGAAUCACUAGGAGAUGUGUGGAAUAUGCUACUAUAUAGUACUUACUUUCGGGUGUCUAAAUUGCAGCUUCUUCGGCAGUCCCGGAGCUUUUUUGGUGAAUUUUCUCCAAGCCCUGCCAUACAAAGAAAACAAUUACUUGAUAUCAAAAAUGAACAAAGUUGCUGAUAUGGUGGAUAAUGAUCGAUUUAACUUACUUCUCGAGCAUUUCAGUCAUGUCCGCAUACUCCUUGGGAUCUUUUCGUUUGGAGUAUAAGACAGUUACUACUCCCUUCUCAAGCUUAAUCUCUAGGAGAAUAUAGUGGUAGCUGCGCACACAUGCAUAACUCAUCAAUAUUACAUUACUAUAACCUGGACUAAUAAGGGAAACCGAAUAUGCCACAAGACAGUAACACUCACUUGAAGUUGUAAGGAAAGAGUAUUAUAUCUUUGUGUUCAUUUAUUACCAACGAUUGUAGCAAGUUGGCCUCGGUAUUUUCUUUAUGAAAUUCAACCUCAGUUUUAUCUAUGAGAUAUGUGUUAAUGAACCCAAUAUCACCCUCUUGUCUUUUCUUCAAUUCGACGAUCUUCAAUCUGCAUAAUAUAGUGAGGAUAAUUAUAAAUACAUGCAAUGAAAGAGCUGAGUUAUAUAGAGAGACUUAAUGACAGAAGUAGUACUACUUACAGAUAGUAGCAGGUGACCGUUGCUUUAUCGAGGGCCAAAUGAUUGAAAAACUGAUAGAACUCUUCAAAUGAAAUAGGCAACAGUUCAAUUCCAAGGAGGUCAUGCUCCUUUUUAACUCCCACAUACAAAGUACUCCUCCCCUCAGACUCUCUGCAGGUUUUCAUGUACCAAUCAUGCAAUCUUCGCAUCAUCGUUGAUAGAGAACUUUCAUCUUUGACGAGAGGCUUCCCGUACUCGUAUCUUUGUAUCUGCACCUCCAAAAAAUCAUAAUGUACAUCGUCGGGCAGGUAAUCUGCAGGAUUGCCAUAACCGGGCACCAUCCUCGGAUCGACGAUGUCGCUAGCAGGCACCUUGAGGGGGGGGGGGGGCACGAUUGCUUCGCUUGUUCGCCGAGCUGGCAAUUUGUUUCCCAGCUCGUCGUUCUUUCAUCCUUUGAUCACUUUUAGUACUUCCCGACCUCUCCGCUUCGGCAAAUGCCUUUCCAAUAAUGCGCUCAUAGUUGCCUUUCGGCGGAGACUUGGGUGGUCUUGUCAGGGCAGCCAGAGUGCGCUUCACUUUCACCGGAUCUACCUUCUCCUCCGAAGGUGGAUGUCUCUUUGCUUUCAACCCUUGAAACCAGUCAUCCACUUCGGUCUGCACGAUCUUCGCGUUUUCCUCCUUGGACCUCUCGUACGGUAACUUCUCUGUAGUCUUCAGAGAAGGACCGAAUCUGUAUCUCCUCCCGCCUUUGGCUGUACUGCUAGACGCCGGCAGAGCAGACGGAGCGGAUGUCUUCUUUCCUUGCUUACGAGGCGGAGGAGAAGGACUACGACGCGCCGGAGCAGCCGGAGCGGCGGCAGGUCUCUUCCGCCCUUGCUGACGAGGCGGAGAAGGAGGAGGCUAGCUGCUCGGGCGCGCCGGCGCAGGCGGAGAAGGAGGCGGAGUGCCGCCACGCGCCGGAGAAGGAGCCGGCCGAGUGCCCUGAUCGUCACUCGCCGGAGGAGGAGGCGGAGUGCCCUGACUCGCCGGAGGAGGAGGAGGAGGCGGAGGCGUCCAGUUCGGAAGGUUGAUGAGAUCCUUCCGCCAUAGGCAUGGAGUCUUCAGAGCAGAACCCAGCCGAUACUCCCCUUCACCGGUAGGGUGGUCAAGCCGGAGGUCGUCAAAUCCCUCCGUUAUUUCAUCCACCAUCACCUUAGCAUAUCCUUCUGGAAUCGGCCGACAGUGAAAAGUUGAGUCGGGUUUAGUAGGAUAAAUAGAGCCAACAGCCGCCUUCACUAGUAGAAAAUGGGCCUAUUGUCCCGGUUGGUAAGGGCCUUUAGUCACGGUUGGUGAACCGGGACUAAAGGGUCGGUACUAAUGCCUCCCCCCUUUAGUCCCGGUUCAAUCCAGAACCGGGACUAAAGGCCGCGGCCACAUGGAGCUCCACCUUUAGUCCCGGUUGGUAACACCAACCGGGACUAAUGGAAAUUUUAUGAUUUUUUUUGAAUUUUUUUUAAAUAAUUUUUUAUUUUCAAAUUUCUGAAUUAUUUUAACCCCUAAUCUCUAAUCAACACCCCUCAUCACUGCUCAAUUUAUCCUCUUCUCUAAUCACCCUCAUCAUUCCAAAUCACCUAACUUCCCGGAUGGUCACCCAUCCUCCCACUCCCCCAGCUGAGCACGCUUAACUUCCGGGUUCUAUUCUCCCUCGUUUCCAAGUCUGCACUUGUUGUUUUCCUGACAAUAGUAAGAUGUCAAUCCUAUUAACCCUCAGGAAUUUUGCUUGAGCAUGAAUUGACACAUUUCACUGUUUGAGUUUCAAACUAUUGUUUUCAAAAACAAUAAUUAUUUAGAAAACAAUAGUUAUUUUGAAUAAUUAGUUUGACCAUGGUUUGACCAUAGUUUGACCACAGUUUGACCACAGUUUGACCAGAUAUGACCAAAAUUCAAAAUAACUGAACAAAUUAUUUAGUAACACUAAUAUUCUAGAAUAAUUAGUUUGACCAUGGUUUGACCAUUGUUUGACCACAGUUUGACCAGAUUUGCCCAAAAUUCAAAAUAACUGAACUAAUUAUUUAGUAACACUAAUAUUCUAGAAUAAUUAGUUUGACCAUGGUUUGACCAUUGUUUGACCACAGUAAAUUUUUUCGAUUUUUUCCACUCUAGAUAUUAAAAGCCCCGUAACUUUUUUUCGGUUAGGUUUUUGAGGAUUUUGAAAACGUUUAACGGGGUUCCCCUAGUUAAAUUUGGAUGUAACUUUUCGAGUAGAUGAUUUUUCAUAUAAAAAACUUUUUCAUCCGAGUUAGUAUGCAAAAGUUAUGCCCAUAUUUACAAAUUCCAGAGAGAUUUUGCAAAUAAAUUCGAAAUUCACAUUUGCAAAUUUUCCCAACAACUAGACCACAUAUCACAUGGGAAACUUAUUUUCUUUUAAUUUUUUGACAUUUCCAUCAUUUUCUUUNNNNNNNNNNNNNNNNNNNNNNNNNNNNNNNNNNNNNNNNNNNNNNNNNNNNNNNNNNNNNNNNNNNNNNNNNNNNNNNNNNNNNNNNNNNNNNNNNNNNNNNNNNNNNNNNNNNNNNNNNNNNNNNNNNNNNNNNNNNNNNNNNNNNNNNNNNNNNNNNNNNNNNNNNNNNNNNNNNNNNNNNNNNNNNNNNNNNNNNNNAAUGGGACCUUUAGUACCGGUUCGUGGCACGAACCGGGACUAAAGGUCUCAACCCCAUUAGUCCCGGUUCGUGCCUCAAACCGGGAGUAAUGGGCAUCGCACCCUUUAGUCCCGGUUUGAGGCACAAACCGGGACUAAAGGGCACAAGUCAACCGGGACUAAUGCCUUAGCCGCGCGAACCGGGAUAAAUGCUCACAUUAGUCCCGGUUCGUGAUUGAACCGGGACUAAUGUGAAAUUUGGCCCGGAACCAUAGCCCUGUUUUCUACUAGUGCUUGACCUUCAAAUUGCUCCAUUCCGCCAUAAGGUGGCAAUUUUGAGACUCCGUGAUAGCAUCCACGGGAUAGCUGGCAGGAGCCGUCAAGGCAUGCCCCGGCUGAAGCAGCUCGGUGGAAGCCACGCUGCUUCUGCGCUGAGGUGGCGGGUGAGGGAGUCCUGGACUAGGGGGUGUCCAGAUAGCCGAACUAUCAUCUUUGGCCGGACUCCUGGACUACGAAGAUACAAGAUUGAAGACUUCGUCCCGUGUCCGGAUGGGACUUUCCUUGGCGUGGAAGGCAAGCUUGGUGAUACGGAUAUGUAGAUCUCCUACCGAUGUAACCGACUCUGUGUAACCCUAACCCUAUUCGGUGUCUAUAUAAACCGAAGGGUUUUAGUCCGUAGGACGAACAACAAUCAUACCAUAGGCUAGCUUGUAGGGUUUAGCCUCUCUGAUCUCGUGGUAGAUCUACUCUUGUACUACCUAUAUCAUCAAUAUUAAUCAAGCAGGAGUAGGGUAUUACCUCCACCGAGAGGGCCCGAACCUGGGUAAAAACAUCGUGUCCCUUGUCUCCUGUUACCAUCCGCCUAGACGCACAGUUCGGGACCCCCUACCCGAGAUCCACCGGUUUUGACACCGACAGCGGGGUAGCUUCGGGGGAAGCUUCGGCAGGUCAUUUGCUACAAUCUGCUUCUCGUUCCUCUAGCCCCAUUACCCUUUCGUGCAGCGCCUGCAGUUGGCUCUGCUCCAGUUUCUUCCUCCUCUCCUGGGUUUUGUAACCCGCUGCGUCUGGAAAUCCAGCCUUCCACGAAAGGGAGCCUGGAGUGCCUUGUGUUCGUCCAGGGUGCUCAGGAUUCCCGAGGGCCAUUGUGAGCUCGUCCUUCUCCCUAUCUGGAACGAACGUUCCUUGCUGCGCUGCUUUGAUAUAUUGCUGAAGCCUCUUGACUGGUAUGUCCAAUUGUUCGUCCUUCCAAAUGCACUUCCCUGUUACAGGGUCCAAGGUUCCGCCAGCCCCGAAGAACCAAGUCCGGCAAUGGUCUGGCCAGUUCAUUGUCUCUGGUUCGAUCCCUUUAUCAAGCAGAUCAUUCUCAGCCUUGGCCCACUUAGGCCGGGCUACGAGGUAGCCACCUGACCCCGUGCAAUGGUGAAGCUUCUUUUUUGCAGCAUUUUGCUUGUUUGUCGCCGACAUCUUUUUACUCUUUUCUGAUGUCUUGUGGGCCACAAAUGCGGGCCAGUCAUCUCUGAUCUUCUCAUAUUUGCCCUUGAAUUCUGGUGUCUCAUUUUUAUCAACAUGCCUAUUCAGGUCUUUCUUCCAAUUCCUGAAUAGGUCUGCCAUCUUCUUAAGAGGAAAAGACUUGAUUAAUGGCUCUAUAACUGGCUUCUCCGGAUCAUCCUCUGGCGGUAGGGUGAAAUUUGACUUCAGCUCAGUCCAAAGAUCAUUCUUCUGCAUAUCAUUGACAUAAGACACCUCAGGGUCUUCGUUCUUAGGCUUAUACCAUUGGUGGAUGCUGAUCGGGAUCUUGUCCCUAACCAGAACCCCGCACUGAGGAACAAAUGCCUUCUUUGUCCGGUAGGGUUCAAUCGGUUGGCCGUCGCGCGCGAUUUCUAUGAUCUCAAACUUUUCAUCCGAGCUCAACUUUUUCUUCGGGCCUCGUCUCUUUACCGAAGUUGUGCUCGAUCCGGAGGGCUACAAAAAAGAACAAAGACGAGAGUUAAUUAAUAUGUGUACGUACCAAAACAAUGAAUGCAUCAAUUAGCUAGUCAGCACAGGCUUAACUAAUAUAUAUACCUGGCCGGACUCGGUUCGGUGAUCACCGGAGCCGUCCUCACGGUCUACUUCUUCACCCUCUCCUUCUUCACCCUCACCGGAGCCAUGUAAAUCAUAGCCAGCUGCUUCUUCACCCUCUCCUUCCAGACAAUCGUUGUCAUUGAGAAACAUCAACGAGCAGACGGCAUCACUUCCUUCUGCGAUUAUGUCCCUCAACAAUGCUUCUUGUGCUUCGUCUCGGGGCGGGGUGUCCAUAAUUUCUACAAAUAUUUACAACAUGGUAAUUAUUAUUCAAACAUGACAGAUAUGGAUAUAUUAGUGGCAAACGUAGAACUAGCUAGCUAAUCACAAUAAGGAAUCAUAUUAAUUAGUGGCCUCGACGCUGCUUCUCUAGGGUUUCGGGUGGCCUCGACAACGCUUCAAGGGUUAGGGGUGGCCUCGAGAACGCUUCAAGGAGGGGGUAAUAUCGACCCACCCCCACGUGUUGAAGCUAUCGGGAGGGGGUAUAUCGACAACAACAACGACGACACUACAUCUAUGUCCCACAAGUGACGUGGGCAUCGACGCCCGCGUCACUUGUGGGACGUGGAUGUAGUGUCCGACACCGACGGCCACAUGUAUCUCACACCGAUGAUACUUGCUAUUUAAUUAGAGUUUCCUCUACCGCUCGGCAACCCUCGACGACCCUCGUUCCCAAUAAAAAAAAGAGGAAGAAGAAGAAAAAAAAGAGCAGAAGAAAUAAUAGAGGAGAAGAACUCCUCUAUUCUUUCUUCUCCUCUUUUUUUCUUCUUCCUCUUCUUUUUUUUAUCAAGGGGUCGAGGAUCGCCGAGGGGUCGAGGGUCAAGGGGUCGAGGAUCGCCGAGGGGUCGGGAGGUUGCCUUGUGUCAAAGGAUUCAAUAAAACCAUGUCUUCAUAAUUAGGCGAAAGUAACAGGUGCAUGAUGGUACGAAGCUCUCCAAAGUUAUUUUGGAACGGAGUCCCAGAUAGGAUAAUUCGCUUUUUGGUACAAAGUUCAGCAAGAACCUUCCGAAUAUCUUUAUUUGGAAGGCCUUUGCUGAAAUUCGUACAAAAAGGCAAAUUAUCCUAUCCGGGACUCCAUUCUAGAAUAACUUUGGAGGACUUCGUACCAUCAUGCCCUGGUUACUUACGGCUAAUGAUGAAGCCGUGGAUUUCUUCAACUUUGACACUAGGAACCCUCGACGACCCUGGAACCCUUGACCCCUAGACGACCCUGGAACCCUCGACCCUCGAUCCCUCGACCCUAUAGAACCCUCGAACCCUCGACCCUGAAACCCUUGACCCCUUAACGACCCUCGACCCUGUACCCUAGUUCCCGACCCUCGACCCCUCGGCGAUCCUCGACACCCUCGACACUCUCGAAAAAAAAGAGGAGAAAAAAAGAAGAAGAAGAAGCUCCUCUAUUCCUUCUUCUUCUCCUCUUUUUUUCUCCUUUUUCCUCUCCUUCUUUUUCUUCUUCUUCUUCCUUCUUCCUUCUUCCUCUUUUCUUCCUUUUCCUUAUUUUACUUUUUCCUCUACACUAACCUAAUUCAAAUGCACUAACCUAAAAUCGAUAUUUACUAACAACCUAAAUAAAAAAUUAAUACAUAUAUGAAAAAAUAUAUAUAAACAAAAAAUGCUAUGAACAUUAUAUUCAUACAUACAUAGCCACAUCCAUUCAUCAUAUAGCUACCACAUACAUAUAUACAUUAUAUAUCUGAAAAAAAUGCAAUGAACAAAAAAUAUAUAUAAACAAAACAAUGCAAUGAAAAAAAUGCAAGCACUGAACACAGAGCCUCGACGGCGGCGGCUCACAACGGGGGCGGCCGGCGAGGGCGACGGCGGGGGCGGCGAGGGCGUCGGCGACGACCACGGCGGGCCGGGGCAGGNNNNNNNNNNNNNNNNNNNNNNNNNNNNNNNNNNNNNNNNNNNNNNNNNNNNNNNNNNNNNNNNNNNNNNNNNNNNNNNNNNNNNNNNNNNNNNNNNNNNNNNNNNNNNNNNNNNNNNNNNNNNNNNNNNNNNNNNNNNNNNNNNNNNNNNNNNNNNNNNNNNNNNNNNNNNNNNNNNNNNNNNNNNNNNNNNNNNNNNNNNNNNNNNNNNNNNNNNNNNNNNNNNNNNNNNNNNNNNNNNNNNNNNNNNNNNNNNNNNNNNNNNNNNNNNNNNNNNNNNNNNNNNNNNNNNNNNNNNNNNNNNNNNNNNNNNNNNNNNNNNNNNNNNNNNNNNNNNNNNNNNNNNNNNNNNNNNNNNNNNNNNNNNNNNNNNNNNNNNNNNNNNNNNNNNNNNNNNNNNNNNNNNNNNNNNNNNNNNNNNNNNNNNNNNNNNNNNNNNNNNNNNNNNNNNNNNNNNNNNNNNNNNNNNNNNNNNNNNNNNNNNNNNNNNNNNNNNNNNNNNNNNNNNNNNNNNNNNNNNNNNNNNNNNNNNNNNNNNNNNNNNNNNNNNNNNNNNNNNNNNNNNGGACGGCGUCAGGGCGGCGCGCAGACGACGUCUAGGCGGCGGGCGGCGUCGGGGCAGCGAACGACGUCGAUCUGGGCGGCAUGGCGGAGUCGAUGAGCUCGGCGUCGUCGGGCGGGCUGGGGGGCAGCUGGCGAUGUGUUCGUCAAAUUUUUCUAAGUGCUGUAUAUAUAGCAAGUGAAUUAGUCCUGGUUGGUGCCACGAACCUGGAGUAAUUCCCCCCUUUAGUCCCGGUUGGUGCCACCAACCGGGACCAAAGGCCUCUUUUCAGCAGCCCAAAGGGCGGGAAGCGGCGGCCUUUGGUCCCGGUUCAUGGCACCAACCGGGACCAAUGCACCCUUUAGUCCCGGUUGGUGCCAGCAACCGGGACCAAAGGCCUUCUGCUGCCCCGUGCCCAAAGUUUAGUCCCACCUCGCUAGUUGAGAGGGAGCCGCACCUGUUUAUAAGGUGCGGUGCGGCUUCCCUCUCGAGCUCCUCUCUAAAGUAGGCUUUCGGGCCUAAUUCUGCAAUCUAUGCCUAUGGGCCUACUGGGUCUUCCGUGGGCCUGAAUCCUGGCCCAUGGUAGGGUUUCUAGUCGUAUUCAGGCCGUGGGUGCCCAGUAGGUGGCACUUUUCUUUUUUGCUUUAUUUUUUAUUUCUUUUUGCUUUUAGUUUUAGAAAAAUAUAAACUUUCUGUUAGUGCCAUUAGUUUUAAAAUUUGAAAACAUUUUCUUUGUUUUCUUUGCUGCUUUAUUUAUUUUAUUUUGUUUCUACUUACAACAAAAUACUUAUUGUUGCUAUUUUUAUUUUAUUUUUCAAGUUUUUUUAUUUUGUUUUCUGCAUUAUUUAUUUUCUUUUGGUUUUUUGCUUUAUUUUUUAAUUGUUUUUGCUUUUAGGUCAGCAAAAUUAUAAACNNNNNNNNNNNNNNNNNNNNNNNNNNNNNNNNNNNNNNNNNNNNNNNNNNNNNNNNNNNNNNNNNNNNNNNNNNNNNNNNNNNNNNNNNNNNNNNNNNNNNNNNNNNNNNNNNNNNNNNNNNNNNNNNNNNNNNNNNNNNNNNNNNNNNNNNNNNNNNNNNNNNNNNNNNNNNNNNNNNNNNNNNNNNNNNNNNNNNNNNNNNNNNNNNNNNNNNNNNNNNNNNNNNNNNNNNNNNNNNNNNNNNNNNNNNNNNNNNNNNNNNNNNNNNNNNNNNNNNNNNNNNNNNNNNNNNNNNNNNNNNNNNNNNNNNNNNNNNNNNNNNNNNNNNNNNNNNNNNNNNNNNNNNNNNNNNNNNNNNNNNNNNNNNNNNNNNNNNNNNNNNNNNNNNNNNNNNNNNNNNNNNNNNNNNNNNNNNNNNNNNNNNNNNNNNNNNNNNNNNNNNNNNNNNNNNNNNNNNNNNNNNNNNNNNNNNNNNNNNNNAUAAACUUUCUGUUAGUGCUUUUAGUUUUAGAAAAUAUAUAAACUUUCUGUUUGUGCCAUUAGUUUUAAAAUUUGAAAACACCUUUUUUGUUUUCUUUGUUGCUUUAUUUAUUUUAUUUUGUUUCUACUUACAACAAAAUACUUAUUGUUGCUAUUUUUAUUUUUAUUGAAGUUUUUUUCUUUUGUUUUCGGCAUUAUUUAUUUUCUUUUGGUUUUUUGCUUUAUUUUUUAUUCUUUUUGCUUUUAGGUCAGCAAAAUUAUAAACUUUUUGUUAGUGCCAUUUGUUUUAGAACAAUUAUAAACUUUCCAUUUGUGCCAUUAGUUUUCAAAUUUGAAUAGUUAAAAUUUGAAUUCUUUGAAAUUUGUGUGAAUCACAAGUUUGUGAGCUGAACAAGGCGUAGAGGGACGGGCUUAUAAACCGGUGUGAGCGCCCUUCGGUUGGCGAGGUUUUCAAAUUCAUAGUUUUCAAAUGAACUCUGAAAAAGUUGGCAUAGCAUGUGCAUGUACAAAACGGACAAUGGUAUCAUACUCGUCUGUUACAAAGUUGGCAUGGUAUCAUCAUAAUAGUUGCGGGAGAAAGUCUUCACUUUUUCUUCGCUUUUGUCGUUUGCUUAUUGCGCCGUAACCAUGGAUAAUCUUCAUCGUUUAUCAGGAUGCUUGGGUCAGCCUUGACUUUGAAGGGGGGAAUUUCAUGAAACUUUUCAUACUUUUCAUACUCUUCAGACAUGUCUGUCUUGCCCUCCACUCCCAGGAUGUCCCUUUUCCCUGAAAGAACUAUGUGGCGCUUUGGCUCAUCGUAUGAUGUAUUCGCUUCCUUAUCUUUUCUUUUCCUCGGUCUGGUAGACAUAUCCUUCACAUAGAUAACCUGUGCCACAUCAUUGGCUAGGACGAAUGGUUCGUCAGUGUACCCAAGAUUUUUCAGAUCCACUGUUGUCAUUCCGUACUGUGGGUCUACCUGUACCCCGCCUCCUGACAGAUUGACCCACUUGCACUUAAACAAAGGGAACUCCGUAGUCAAGUUCCCAUAUGUCUACUAUGUAACCAUAAUAUGUGUCCUUUCCCCUGUCGGUUGCUGCAUCAAAGCGGACACCGCUGUUUUGGUUGGUGCUCUUUUCAUCUUGGUCAAUCGUGUAAAAUGUAUUCCCAUUUAUCUCGUAUCCUUUCCAAAUCAUUACUGUCGAAGAUGGUCCCCCGGACAACAAGUACAGCUCAUCAUAAACAGUGCUAUCACCUCUGAGACGUGUUUCCAACCAACUGCUGAAAGUCCUGAUGUGUUCACAUGUAAUCCAGUCGUCGCACUGCUCCAGGUGUUUGGAGCGCAGAAUGUUCUUGUGUUCAUCGACAUACGGGGUCACCAAGGUAGAGCUCUGUAGAACUGUGUAGUGUGCUUGAGACCAAGAAUAUCCGUCCCUGCAUAUUAUUGAGUCCCUUCCAAGCGUGCCUUUUCCAGUCAGUCUCCCCUCAUAGCGCGAUUUAGGGAGACAUAUCUUCUUAAGGCCAGGAAUGAAGUCAACACAAAACCCAAUGACAUCCUCUGUUUGAUGGCCCAUGGAGAUGCUUCCUUCUGGCCUAGCACGGUUACGGACAUAUUUCUUUAGGACUCCGAUGAACCUCUCAAAGGGGUACAUAUUGUGUAGAAAUACGGGGCCCAGAAAGACAAUCUCGUCAACUAGAUGAACUAGGACGUGCGUCAUGAUAUUGAAGAAAGAUGGUGGGAACACCAGCUCGAAACUGACAAGACAUUGCACCACAUCACUCCUUAGCCUUGGUAUGAUUUCUGGAUCGAUCACCUUCUGAGAGAUUGCACUGAGGAAUGCACAUAGCUUCACAAUGGCUAAUCGGACGUUUUCCGGUAGAAGCUCCCUCAAUGCAACCGGAAGCAGUUGCGUCAUAAUCACAUGGCAGUCAUGAGACUUUAGGUUCUGAAACUUUUUCUCUGCCAUAUUUAUUAUUCCCUUUAUAUUCGACGAGAAGCCAGUUGGGACCUUCAUACUAAGCAGGCAAUCAAAGAAGAUUUCCUUCUCUUCUUUGGUAAGAGCGUAGCUGGCAGGACCUUCAUACUGCUUUGGAGGCAUGCCGUCUUUUUCGUGCAAACGUUGCAGGUCCUCCCGUGCCUCAGUUGUAUCUUUUGUCUUCCCAUACACACCCAAGAAGCCUAGCAGGUUCACGCAAAGGUUCUUCGUCACGUGCAUCACGUCGAUCGAAGAGCGAACCUCUAGGUCUUUCCGGUAGGGUAGGUCCCAAAAUAUAGAUUUCUUCUUCCACAUGGGUGCGUGUCCCUCAGCGUCACUUGGAACAGCUAGUCCGCCGGGACCCUUUCCAAAGAUUACGUGCAAAUCAUUGACCAUAGCAAGUACGUGAUCACCGGUACGCAUGGCGGGCUUCUUCCGGUGAUCUGCCUCGCCUUUUAAAUGCUUCCCUUUCUUUCGACAUUGAUGGUUGGUCGGAAGAAAUCAACGAUGGCCCAGGUACACAUUCUUCCUGCAGCUUCCCAGGUAUAUACUAUCGGUGUCAAGUAAACAAUGUGUGCAUGCAUGGUAUCCCUUGUUUGUCUGUCCUGAAAGGUUACUGAGAGCGGGCCAAUCGUUGAUGGUCACGAACAGCAACACCUUUAGGUCAAAUUCCUCCUUUUUGUGGUCAUCCCACGUACGUACACCGUUUCCAUUCCACAGCUGUAAAAGUUCUUCAACUAAUGGCCUUAGGUACACAUCAAUGUCGUUGCCGGGUUGCUUAGGGCCUUGGAUGAGAACUGGCAUCAUAAUGAACUUCCGCUUCAUGCACAUCCAAGGAGGAAGGUUAUACAUACAUAGAGUCACGGGCCAGGUGCUGUGAUUGCUGCUCUGCUCCCCGAAAGGAUUAAUGCCAUCCGCGCUUAAAGCAAACCAUACGUUCCUUGGGUCCUUUGCAAACUCAUCCCAGUACUUUCUCUCGAUUUUUCUCCACUGCGACCCGUCAGCGGGUGCUCUCAACUUCCCGUCUUUCUUAUGGUACUCACUAUGCCAUCGCAUCAACUUGGCAUGCUCUCCGUUUCUGAACAGACGUUUCAACCGUGGUAUUAUAGGAGCAUACCACAUCACCUUCGCAGGAACCCUCUUCCUGGGAGGCUCGCCGUCAACAUCACCAGGGUCAUCUCGUCUGAUCUUAUACCGCAAUGCACCGCAUACCGGGCAUGCAUUCAGAUCCUUGUAGGCACCGCGGUAGAGGAUGCAGUAAUUAGGGCAUGCAUGUAUCUUCUCCACCUCCAAUCCUAGAGGGCAUACGACCUUCUUUGCUGCGUAUGUACUGUCGGGCAAUUCGUUAUCCUUUGGAAGCUUCUUCUUCAUUAUUUUCAGUAGCUUCUCAAAUCCUUUAUCAGGCACAGCAUUCUCUGCCUUCCACUGCAGCAAUUCGAGUACGGUACCGAGCUUUGUGUUGCCAUCUUCGCAAUUGGGGUACAACCCUUUUUUGUGAUCCUCUAACAUGCGAUCGAACUUCAGCUUCUCCUUUUGACUUCCGCAUUGCGUCCUUGCAUCGACAAUGACCCGGCGGAGAUCAUCAUCAUCGGGCACAUCGUCUGGUUCCUCUUGAUCUUCAGCAGCUUCGCCUGUUGCAGCACCAUAGUGCACAUCGUCUGGUGCAUCUUGAUGUUCAGUAGCAUCACCGUAUUCAGGGGGCACAUAGUUGUCAUCGUACUCUUCUUCCUCGCCGUCUUCCAUCAUAACCCCUAUUUCUCCGUGCCUCGUCCAAACAUUAUAGUGUGGCAUGAAACCCUUGUAAAGGAGGUGGGUGUGAAGGAUUUUCCGGUCAGAGUAAGACUUCGUAUUCCCACAUAUAGGGCAUGGACAACACAUAAAACCAUUCUGCUUGUUUGCCUCAGCCACUUCGAGAAAAUCAUGCACGCCCUUAAUGUACUCGGAGGUGUGUCUGUCACCGUACAUCCAUUGCCGGUUCAUCUGCGUGCAUUAUAUAUAAUUAAGUGUGUCAAAAAUCAUUACAGAACAUCAUGAAUAGAUAAUUAAGUGACCAAAUUAAUAGAAGUUCAUCAUCACAUAAAAACCAAAGUACAUACAUAGUUCUCAUCUAACAACAUAAAGCUCUGCAGAGCAUCUAAAUUAAUUAAACCAUACAUUGAAACUAUGUAAAACAUUUCAAUGCGAAAACAAAUGCGAUCAUAAUCGCAACCAAGGUAACAACUGAUCCAACGGCAUAAUGAUACCAAGCUUCGGUAUGAAUGGCAUAUUUUCUAAUCUUUCUCAUCUUCAAGCGCAUUGCAUCCAUCUUGAUCUUGUGAUCAUCGACGACAUCCGCAACAUGUAACUCCAAUAUCAUCUUCUCCUCCUCAAGUUUUUUUAUUUUUUCCUUCAAGAAAUAGUUUUCUUCUUCAACUAAAUUUAACCUCUCGACAAUAGGGUCGGUUGGUAUUUCCGGUUCAACAACCUCCUAGAUAAAUAAAAUCUAUGUCAUGUUGGUCGGCAUAAUUUUCAUAAACAAUAAAUGAACCAAUAGUUAUGAAAAGAUAAUAUAUACCACAUCCGAAUCAUAGACAGGACGAGGGCCGACGGGGGCGGAUACCAAAACCAUCGCACUAUAUAAGAUGCAAUAAUAAAAGUAAGAAAAUAAUACAAGUAUCUAUCUAAACAUACAAGUAAGAAUAUUUUUUCAGAACAAGAGGCUCACCACGGUGGUGCCGGCGAUGAGAUCGGCGCGGGUGAUUGACGGCGGUGAAGACGGGGAUGGGGCGUGACGGACCGCUAAACCUAGAUAAAUAUUGAGGAAAAUGGAGCUUGGCGGUCGAGCUUGGAGAGGAUAAACCUUAAGUAGUGUGGCUCGGGCAUUCCAUCGAACACCUUGUGUGCAUAGGAGGUGAGCUAGAGCAGCACCAAGCCCUCUCCCCCUCGGCCAGAAAAAACAGAGCAGUGUGCUCUGCUCUUGCGUGAGGGGGUAUAAAUAGGCACCACCAUUGGUCCCGGUUCGUGGCAUCAACCGGGGCUAAAGGGAAGCCUUUGGUCCCGGUUCAUGCCACCAACCGGGACCAAUAGUGAUGGGCCAGGAGCCAGACCCGUUGGUCCCGGUUCGUCCCACCAACCGGGACCAAAAGGUCCGGACGAAUCGGGACCAAUGGCCCACGUGGCCCGGCCGACCCUCUGGGCUCACGAACCGGGACAAAUACCUCCAUUUGUCCCGGUUCGUGGCAGAACCGGGGCUAAUGGGUUGAACCUGCCUGGGCCAUUGCCCCCUUUUCUACUAUUGUUGGUAUGAAAGGAUAUCUUGAUAGUUCUUUUAGGUUCCUCAUUAUCAUGAGAUUCCGAAUUUUCCUCUCGACUUCUAUUUCAGCCGAAGCAUUGGAAAAAAUAAAAAAUCAUUAGAUCAUUGGACCAGAUGAACUGAAGAAUUAGGUGGUUAAAUGACAUUAAAAAACAUUUGGAAGAGAAAUGAAGGUAAGGUAGACAUGCAUGUCAAUGAAUGAUAAUAACUACUAUGCGGUUAGAUCCAUAGCCUUUUCCUCAUUGGUAAGUGAAUCUUCAUAGGACAUGAUAAGAACCGAGAACAGUGUGCCGAUGCCACCAAAAAGUUAAACUAAUAUGUUUAAGGUCCAUAUGAAAAUAACAUGUCAUAAUAUUACACAAUAGGUUCUCAAACUCCAUGCAUGCAUUUUUCCUUAGAGGUAGAAAAUGACAAGAGCCGCACAACUACCCCAUGGAUAUUACAUCUUCUAUGUGUUUCAUUUGGAAGGUCUUCAUAGAUCUUGAAUUGCCUGAUAUGAUGGUCCACACUUCUACGUCGAUGAUUAUCCAUCAUACGCACUAAAGCCCAUGAGUUGUGUUGCUCUCACGCAUGUCAAUGCAUGUGAGUGAUUCCCUGCAAAAAAAUGCAUGCUAGGCACAACCAGGUGUGGUAGAUAUUCCCCAUUAAUCAAAUUAAAUGAUGGUGAUUAAGUAAUCCCUUCUCCACUUUAAUUAUCCGACAAUAUUGUAUUAUUUUUGUAGAACGGAAAAUUAUUACAUCACUGAAAAUACUAUAUUUCUCCUGCUUCUGGAACUAUAAUUACUCAUAGAAAGGCUAAGAACGCAUAUGAAAUUUUAUUAUGAAAUGUCAUUUAAGACGUGUUAGCUAGGGUUAUUUGUCAAAAUAAAAAUAUUUGUAUAAUACAUACAACAAGAUACUUGGAGCAGAGAGCAUGCAAAUAGUAUCCAACAUAUAUUCUUUGCACGCCAAUCGAAGCAAACUUUGUGACAUAUGUGGUUACGUAAUCAUCUUUCAAUAUAAGUUCUCUGUUAUCCCUACAAUUUAGUAAAAACACGUAGAGAAAAUAUUUGUCACAGUCUCCUUUAGUCUACAUCAUUCUUAUGAUAUUGUACUAGCCCGUGCAGUUGCACGGGUGGUUGACUAGUAUCUAUCUAAUCUGUACGAGAAACCUGCAGCGACACUAGCCAAACACGAACACCUCAUCGUAUUACAGACGAACUCCUAUCCUAGGCAAAACCAACUUUAAUAAUGAGAAACACAACAAACCACGCACGCACGCCCUUUCCUGAUCCUGGCUUCCGCAGGUUCGGUCGCGAUCUCGCGACCUUGGUAAUCACAAACCUGCCACGGAAUUCCGGUAAUCACAAGAACGCAAUGGCCGACAAGCAGACUAGCGGCCGACUAGGAGGGCUCCGUGAAGUAAUCGUGUCCUGCCACAACACUUCCAUGGAGAUGGAGAUGGAGCGGGUGAGGGGCAUCGAGAUCAAGGUAUCGGCGACCAACGCGGAACCCGCUGCUGCCAUUGAUGUUGAUGGUGACAAUGGCGAAGACACUGCUGUAGGUGGGACUGGACGUGGACAAGAAGCUUUGGGCCAAGCCAGGGUCAACGCGACAUGUUCGCCGGUGCUAUCGACGAGGAGCUGGAUGGCGAAGACACAUGGUUUCUCUAGAUGACCUGCUGUGUCUAGACCUGUAUGGACUCGAGCAUGCAGUAACAAUGACACCAAUUGAAAAUCAAUCUUCAUAAGGUCAUUUCUAACUAAUUCUCUAAAAAUAGUGGAGUAUCCGAUGGAGUAAACCCUUAACUGAGUAUAUUUACUCCAUUAACUUUUCAUCGGACCUAGCCGAUCUCCUAUAUAUAAUAUAACAGAGUAAAUUUUACUUUUUUCUAAACUUUUCAAUUCUAGUACACAUUGCAACUACAUAUUAGCACAAAUAUAGAAAGGUAAACAUAAAUUUGAAUGUUCAAGCAAGUCACGGAUAUAGUUUACAAACAGAACUCAAAGUUAACAAACCAAAUUAUUCAAAUUUAAACACGUCGAAUGGCCCAAAUGUAGCAAAUAACAUGUGAUAGUUCUGUUGUUGCCUCUCUCUCUCUCUCUCUCUCUCUCUCUCUCUCUAGCUCAGUUGGCAAGGUGCGGGAGUUCACAGCCAAUCCACCAGGGUUUAAGUCUUGGCUUGAGUGUUUGGUGCUCAUGGAGUUUUCUUCUAUAAAAAAAUACCAACAGGCUAAUCUAGCCCGGGUUGGUCUCAUUGUUUUUUUCUCUUUCUCUCUCUCUCUCACUCAAGACUAGAGGUAGAAGAAGGAACAUGGUACACUGGAGUUUCACCCGGUCGCACACAGCCCCGUUUUUCUUCCAAGAGCACCCACUCUUCUCAACAAAUACAUGGUCGCAUCCGCGGCUUUGUAGUCCUGCAGCUACGCAGCGCCCACGUCUCCUGCGCAUACAUGCACGUAGCGGAGCGAGCGAUCUGCCCGGCCAGCGUGCACGGCGCGCAUAGUGCUCUACGACGGCACGAUCCGGGCGCGCGCACGAGGCGCACACAACGCGCUCGACGCGGCUCGAUCCAUCUGAUCGUAACGGCCUCCCUACUGCAUGGUGCAUGCACAGCUCCUCCACGCUACGUGCACGUCAAGCUAACUAACUCCAACACACGCAAGCACACGGACUCACACACACACACACACACACACACACACACACAAGCACCUACGAACCUGACGCGGCCUCACACUGCCCAUACACACACAUACGCCACACCGCCGCUGCGUCCUUGGAGCUGCCAUAGAACCUUGGAGCUGCAGUACUCGGCAUGGUUACGAAUAAUUACAAGGCGCCUCUAAAGCACACGGAAGCCUCUCAUUAUCUUGGCAUGGCCCUCCGCUCUAUCACAACUGAUGUGUAUGCGGCCUAACUGUGAUCCUCGCCUAGGCGCCGAAUAACAUAAUUGAAAGUCAUGCCUAACACGAUGUCAAAGUCAUCAUCGUCUUCCUUCUCUUCGGAUGACGAUGAGUUCUCAAAGACCAUCUCUCUCAACCUCUCCAUUUACAAUUCAAAUGGCUAGGUUCAAUCCAAACGGCUCGGUUCAAACAGAACCGAAAAAAAACUCACCUAAGCAAUUCAUCGAACACUUGCGGUGCAGUGGUGGCGCACCGCCCUGCCGGUGUUGUUUAGACCAAACCGGUGGGCGGCGCUGCGUGCAAGUGACCUGCAAAGGUGUGCAAGCAAGGUGAGAUGCAACGGCCGACAGAAAAUGAAGAAGUUUGUAAGAAAUCCAACAAAUAGGCUGUGGCAACGGCAGCAGCGUUUCACCUUGAUUUCGGCGACGACUAGGGGGCUGAACAGGAUCGACAUCUGGCAGAAGGGUAGAGGGGGCUAAGGGAGGCAAUGAAGUAGCAGCUGGGCCGGCGGGCGUCGCCGGGAAGAUGCAGGGGUGGGGGGCGACGCGAGGGAGAGGUGCGGCUUUUACUCGGAGCCACAGCGACCGAGUAUAUUUAUGUUGGCGCUGCCUCUCUCUCAACCUCAUACAACGCUAACUUGUGGUUUCUCUCUAGAACAUACAUGGUGAGAAGACACAACACACGCGCGCACACACACACAUGCACAAGGAAGAGCACCAACGACUUUGCCAUGAGGCAUUCUUCCUUGGCAAACACAAACACUACAUAUUUUCUGCUCAGCCCACACGACCUCCUUUCAUUACUUAAUAUGCAACAUGUAUAUACACAUCAGGCACUAGACUCACACACGCACUACCAGCUACCUUAACCGGCCACUAACAGCACACCCUCCACGCACUAACCCAUGCGCCAACUUUUUUUCUAGAAAAGGAGGAGGACCCCCGGCCUCUGCAUCUGGAUGAUGCAUGCAGCCACUUUAUUAAUUAUUCACACAAGAUCUUACAAAGUCAUAUAACAGUAAGACUAAAGCCACCGUCUAGGCAACAUCUGUCGCUACUCCUAUCCAGUUGAUGAAGGGAUGCUCAUAGUCUGGGCCUAAUACCAAACAAACAUCGCAGCCAAACCUAACAUCUAAGACCUGAGGUCCCAACCAGGACGCCUGCCGGGGAUGGGCACCCACUAGUCCGGCGCACUCCUCAACCAGGACGCCUGCCGGGUAUGAGUCCGCCGCCGCCACCUGCCGCCAAUCCAUCUUCAGUGUUGUAUUGCUGCAUCAACCUUGCCAGGCCUGCCGUCGACGCCACCACGACGCCAGACGACGCCACCAUCCUGCGCGUGUCCAUCCACGCACGCCCAUCGCCGAAACUCCGCAGCGCCAUGCCGCCGUGAUCCGCCGUCGGCCUUGCGGUAGUUGUAACACCGCUCCUCCUCUUGCCACCUCCAUCCAUCACUUACUCCAAAACGAUGCCCACAGGAGGGAAAGCGAUGCAGAGAACGCCAUCAUCGUCCGAUCUGCAAGACCCAGAUCUAGGGUUUUCCCCGGAGCAUCCCGAGCCUGGUGACGCAAACUGCAACGACGAUGCCUCGACAAGGAAACGAUAUCAAAGACGCCGCCAUCGUCCGCCAUGACCGUAUUCGGCGCGAUUUUCAUCGGCACUUGCGCCACCGGGCGUGUGCCGUCGGUGUCGCUGGUCCCUUCAACCGGAGCAAACUCCAAAACGAUGCCCUGAAGAGGGACUACGACGCAAAAGCACCGCCAUCGCUUGGUCCCAAGGAGAUCUAGGGUUUCCCCCGGAGUUGCCCGCGCCGUCAAGGACCAAACAAGGAUGGAAUCCGCAGAUCCGCCAAGCUGCCGACGUGCGGCACCCGCCAUCGCGCCGACCGCAACCCGAAGUCCAAGCCCACGACUGGACCCUGAUUCGGCCGCGCCGCUGCCGUCCCUGACGAUCGCGAUGCCCCAGACCUUGAAGCUGCCUGCUGUGCAGGUAUGGAAUUGCCGGAGUGCCCCCACCCCCCGCCGUGACGUCCGGUCGAACACCACGCUCCGGCCCGGGGGCGCCGGCCCGCGCCAGCCCCUCACGAGCGGGAGGGCCCCGAGUCCCCGCCGCCACCGGCGACGGCAGGGUUUCGCCCUGCUGCGCCCUCGGGCGGCGGCGAGGGAGGAGGAGGAGGAGAAUCGGAGGCCGGGCGAUUGGAUCUCAAGCCUCCCGGCCGCCACACGGGGCCGACUCGGGAGGAAAUCACUUGGCUCAACCUGAAUGAGCAGCCCGUCACGCUCCAGCCACGGUCGCAUCUUGCCGCAUCUCAAGGCGUUGCCGUAUCGCACAGCAACAUCGACAUCUCCUCAUGCUCGCCCCGUCGCACGGCAGCCUGACAUCUCAUUUUCUACGCGCGCCUCCGCUGAAGCUUCACCGGACUAGCUACUCUCUAACAUAUCGUACAUGCAUGACGAAAGCAAACUAAAUAUGCAGGUACAUGCAUCAAGAUUAAAGCUAACAAUUUAGGGAGAAGGUUGAAGCCGGAGUAUAAUGUUUACUCCCUUACAACGGAUUGGGGAUUGGUUAGAUGCGCGUUAGAGGAGUAAAACAGGCUUUUUACUGCUCUAAUGCCGGAUAUGGGUUCGGUUAGAAAUGCACUAACAUGGCUUGCCGCAGUCUUGAACCAGAGGCAAUUAAUGCUGCAUCUCACCGCAUCUCCACAAAGUCUUCCUGGGCUUACAACUCUGCCAGGGGAUGUGAUUCUCAAUCAGUCUCCACAAGAUUAUUGGCGGUCGUCGAUCUUGUCUUGAGGAAGUGCAGCAACAGGUCGUCGCCUCCAACGCCUAUGCAGGGCAGGGACUAUGAUUGGGUACACCAUCACCACGCUCCACGCACUCCUCUCUUGACAGAAUUUUGAAGCAUAGAUGCCACGUUAUAGCGUACAUUCAUUCAGGUGACUCGGUCGCGAUUGAGAUGCCCGACCGUUCAGGUGUCAUAGUUGUAACUGUUAGUACUGAUCUUGAUAUGCAUUAGAUGGAUAAGUAGAUGUGUGUGUGUGGCGUAGUGGCCACGGUAGCUAGGCUAGUUGGUGAUUUGUUGGAGUGGCCGCGGUGUGCGCGUUACUUGCAUUGUGAGCACGCGCGCCAUGCAGAUCAUGGAUGCGGCAGAGUAGGAGGAUGGGCAAGGCCCUGUGCGUGAGUGAGCCAGGGAUUUAAACCCCCCGUACUGUAGUCUGUUGUGGAGAGCCAGCGAUGUAGCCAUUGAAAAGAUAAAGAAGAUUAGGGCGUGCGUGCGCCCACGACGGCGUUCGUGCGCCGGCCCGGAAUUUCUUGUGUCUUGUGUCUUCUUCUACCUCUAGCCAUGAGUGAGAGAGGGCUGCGGUUCCAACAAUGUAACAGGAUGAGAAGAGCAACCACAGGCGUGUGUCCUGCACGCCAGUAGGUUCACAGCCCAGCCGCAUGCUUGGCGGCAAGCACGCCAGUAGGUUCACAGCCCAGCCGCAUGCUUGGCGGCAAGCUCGCCCAGGAGCCGAGCUGGGGCUGCCGGCUACUUGGCGAAGCGCAGGGGCGAGGCAGUGAUACAGGCUGUGAAGAGGCACAACUUCGGCAACACAGACAUGGACGUCAACACUCGGGCGCGAGAACUCGUAGGCUGCUGGCUAUGGCGUGGCAUAGCUGCAGCUACAGUCAGUGAAGCAUCGACAGCACAAGGCUAGCGUGUAGUGCGAGGCAUCGGCGAAAGCGCUUGGGCGCUGUGGACGACGCAGCAUCGGGCCUAAGCUGUUGCUGUGGAUUGGCGUUGGGAUCUACUCCCUCUGUUCCGAAUUACUUGUCGCACGUAUGAAUGUAUCUAGAUUAUUUUAGUUCUAGAUACAUCUAUUUCAGCGACGAGUAAUUUGGAACGGAGGGAGUAAUAACUUGUUGCUGAACUUUGGUCAGCUACUUUGGCAAAUCUAGUAAUGUUAGACUGGCAUUUGCAUAAAAUCCAAAGUUUUACCAGACUAAAACGUUGAUAUAAAUAACAUGAAAAAUUAAGGUCUACAACAAUUGCUCACUGUCCAAAUGCUUCCCAACAUGUAAAUGACCAUCCUCACAGUAGCAGCACAUGAAUAAGCAUAUGCGUCAAACAAAUGGAUGCAUGGGCGGAUGGAACACAAAUCCAUGCAUCAAACGAUUGCUCGCUGUAGAUGCUAAAAAAAUCCAUGAAGCAGCUAGAGCUCAGGCGGAGACCAAAAUUAUAUCUAAUCCGGGUAAGCAGGAUCAUUGUUUGUUCCUCCGCAGCAUCUUCACAUGGACCAGGAAAAAGAUCAAGACUUCAAUACAUAUGGGAUCUUAAAUCUCUCGGUGUCGAAUGCAGUAUCAAUCUAGUAGGAUUAAGUUAUUUGAAUGAAUGGAUGUACUCCAUUUAUCCAUUAACACUCACAGUUGAUUGGAUCAACGGAGUAUCUAUCUAGUAGGAUUAAGCAACUGACCCUUUACUGAUUGAUUAAUUAGCGAAUUGAUAAUUUAUCUGAAUCUUUGCUGGAACAUAACCAAAGGUAUUAGAUGUAUCCAGAUCAUUGGGCCUUAAAUCCGUUAAUAACUAUGCCAAACAGAGAAGGUUCCUUGUGAAAAGGCUUUUAUAAACAUUUCACAUGUGAGCCUAAAAUUACUGCAAAGCCCGUCAAUGCUAGUAAACAGGAAAGUUCGCUGACAUUAGUGUUGAAUUGGUAAAGGCAUAUGUAUUCAUUUUUUUGGUUGUACCUUCCCACAGCCGGGCUCCUGACAAGCAUACUACUUCUUGCCGUGUACGUGAGCAUGCUUACUUAAGGCAGCAACAUCAACACAGUCUUGCCCAAGUUGUCAAAGCUGCAGAGGAAGAAGAUCUCCAAGGACGGUUCGACCUUGCGUGGCUGCAUCUCUGGCUCUUGCUCCCAUUGAAGUUUUCCUGCAGGUUCCUGUACACGUCCUCUCCCGACAGACGAUCAGAAAAUCUGCUCAAAUUAUCCAGUGCGAGCGACUAACUACAGAGGAUAAGAUAAAUUUUACUCUAGGAUCCAUGAUAGCCAUUGUCAAUUUUGUCUCUAGCCCGGCCGCUGGACGUAUCCGUACAGAAGACCACCGAUUGGGCCGGCCCAUUAAGGAGGUAGCGUAUAGCAGCGCUUCAAAAAUAAAAGCACGCCUGGAAGAGUUCGAACUCGGACAAACGUGGUAAACCAGCUCGCCUAGCCAGCGCCUUCUGAUCAAUGGCAGCGCCAAGCCUUAGGUAUAACAUCGUGGAGAAUAAAAACUUCCAACGCAAAAUAUUUUUUUUGAAAACAAAACGUGAUUUUUGUGUGAAUCCCAAACACUUUUCAGAUUUUCUGAACAAAUAUAAUAAUAAACUGAAACAUUUUUUAAAAAACAUGAAGAAUUUGGAAACGCAAAUGUUUUUUAAACCGCAACAUUUUCCUAAUUCCAAAUUUUUAUGGAAACACAAACAAUUUUUGGACGUGAAAUUUUUUUGCAACUCCAGAAAAUAAAUGGAAAAACAAAAAAAAAAUUGUAAUUGCGAAUUUUUUUGUAACAGAAGCAUAAGACCAUCAUUUUUUGAAAUUUUUUGGGAAAAAUAUGAAAACGGGAACAUUGAUUGAAAUUUGAAACAAAUUAAUACAUGAAAAAUAAUUGGAAUCCCAAUCAUUUCUCUAACCGUUGUGAAAAUUUUGAAUAACCACAUUUGAAGAAUUCUUCGAAAACACUGAAAUUCCUGACUUUUUUGAAAAAUGACAAACAAAAGUUGAAGGUAUGUACAAUUUUUUUGAAAUUAUGAACAUUUUCUGAUUUUUUUGAACAUUGAUUAAUAAAUAUGAACAUUUUUGUAAUUCUGAAAAUUGGUUUUAAAAAUAUUUGAAAUAUUGAAGGUUCAGUGGUCACUAAGGAUGCUCAUAGGCGAGACCAUAACGUUAUUUUCUUCGCUCGUUCUAUCCGUUUGAUUGAUAACUUCAUGCGACGAGUGUCAAUUAGGAAAUUCCAUAUGUUUCGAGAGUAGCGUCAAAUAGAAGGCAACACACGCAGGAGGCUGGCCGACUGUGCUGGCCCAUUGACGCUCGCAAAAAACAGAAAAUAAUUCACCAAUAUGAUAGUUUUAAGUAACUAUUUUUAAUUAUUAUUUUAAAUACUUUUUUCCCUUCGAACCUAGCAUGGAUGCAAACCAUGGGCAUGCCCACCUGCUGGCAAAAGUUGAGAUCGUUACAAGAAUAUCCCAAAAAACACAAUGUUCAAUGGAGGGUGUCUGGAUAGGCCAUGAGCACAUUUUUUCUGAACAUCCUGAAAUGGCCCCAACUUUCUUAAUGGCUUGUAUGACCAAUUCAAGGCACCACGCCAAGUUUCUUUGCUUUUUGAAAAGUUUUGCAUUUUCUGGUGUAUUCUUGGUUAAAAAAGAUCGAUAAAUGACUGGACGUGUCGCAACCUGCAUACGGUGUCAGAAAUUGUUCAAACCUGGCAUGGAUGCCUACCUUGGACGUGCCCACCUGCUUUGAAAAAUUGGGGUCAUUUCAAGAAUCUCCAAAUAGACCAUGUUCAAUGGAGAGUGUCCAGGUAGGCCAGAAAGGUUCGUCUGAGAGCAUGUUGUUUCUCAAUAUCCUUUAAUUGGCCCUAAUUUUUUCAUGGCCUUUUAUGACCAAUUCAAGGCACCAGUCCAACUUGCCUAGGUUUUGACAAGUUUUGCCAUUUCUGGAGUUUUCUCUGUCAAAAAAGCUAAUAAGUGGCCGGAGGUGUAGUUAAUUGCAUAUGGUGCCAGAAAUCAUUCAAAUAUGGCAUGGAUGCCUAACAUGGGCAUGCCCACCUGCUUUUCAAAGUUGGGUUCAUUUCUAGGAUGUCCAAAAAACCAUAUUCAACGGAUGGUGUCCUGGUAGGAUAGAAGGGUCCGCCUGAGAACACAUUGUUUCCCAAUAUCCUUGAAUGGCCCUAAUUUUCUCAUGCCCUUGUAUGACUAACUAAAUGCGCCAUGCCUGGUUGCUUGAAUUUAUGACAAGUUUUACAUUUUUCUAGAGUUUCCUCGGUAAAAAAAAACCCCAAUAAAUGGUCAGACAUGUUGCAACUUGCGUACGUGUCGUAAAUCAUUCAAACCUGGUAUUAAUGCCUACCAUGGUCAUGCCCACCUAUUCGCAAAAGUUGAAGUCAUUUUAAGAAUGUCAAAAAAUGGACCGGUUCAAUGGAGGUGUCCGGGUAGGAUAAAAGGGUCCAUCUCAGAACAUGUUGUUUCUCAACAUCCUUCACACGACCAAUUUUUUCAUGGCCUUGUAUGACAAUUCAAGGCACCACGCCAAGUUUCUUAGGUUUUCGACAAGUUUUGCGUUUUUCGGAGUCUUCUCGGUCAAAAAAGAUAAAUAAAUGGUUGGACGUGUCACAACUUGCGUACGGUGUCGAAAAUCAUUCAAACCUAACAUGGAUGCCUAUCUUGGACAUACCCACAUGCUUGAAAAUUGGGAUCAUUUCAGGAAUGUCCAAAAGCGGGUUUUUUCUUUGUAAUAACCGAAUUCAAAUCAGGUUCGGUAUUAAACCGUAUAACUGAAAGAAAAAACUGAAAUCCAGGUAUCCAGUACGAGGCUCCCUCAUGCGUGUCACCCAACACCAAAGGCUUAAUCAUGCGUGUGUGUCCAACCAUGCAGGAUACGAAGGGCCCAGUGCAUGCUUUGUUCACCAUGUGAGAGCUAAACCAGCUAAGCUAUUGCGAGGUUUCGUUGUCCACCUAGUUUCAAGGCUCAAGGGCAACUACUAGUACUUCUAUGGGCAGGCAGAGCAUGCAGAGGCAAACCUCUUAUUUGUUUAUUAAUACCACAUCGUGUAGGUAUCCUCAGAGGAUAAAGGUGGUCAUGGAUAUUAGAGAACGACACGAGGGAAGCGCUAGUAGUUGUGUCGUAGCUUGGACGUGUGCUCUACAAAAAGAUUUUCAUUAUAAACCGAAAACCAAACGAAAUCAGUUGGCCGGAGUAAAACCGCAGCAAGUGCGUGGCGUUUAUAAUUACUCACGGGGCGAUCAGGAGGCGACGAGGCCCUUGCGCGCCGCCGGUAACGCCUCCGGUUCCCCUUCGUCGGCCGCUCCGGCGGCGGGAGGAAGGGGGAACCUCGGGUCUGUUCGCUUGGUAGGUGUGUGGUAGGGUUAGGGUUGAGGGAGACGCUGCCGAGGCCGUUGCGGUGGUGUCGUGUCGGAAUAAGUUUCUCCGGGCUCCGUUCGCGGUCAGGCGAGGCUUUUGCCUUCGUCUAGGAGCCAGCGGUGUUGGGGAUCCCCGGAUCGCGUCGAGGUCGCGGGCUAUGGUGGUUGGAGGUCCAUCGGCACUGGCCGUUUGGGUUCUCAGAUGGGCGAUGGAUGCAGGGAGACGAAGACCCUUCUUCUUUCUUGUUGGUAUGAUUUGCCGCUGCUGUUGUUCUCCUUCCUCUGCGCUGAUGCUGGUGGGAGAUCCUGCUUUGUCCGGGCGGAUGGCCCGGCCGCGGUGCUGUUCCGAUCGGAUGACUCGAGUUCUCUUCCUUCCGGAAGGGACACUUUUCGCGGUACUCAAAGCCAAAGAUGGCGACGGUUGUUGCAGUUGUGUUGGAUUGAUGUCCAUGCCCUCUCAGCGCUGGUGUCAAGAAAGAAGGAAGCAACAUGGCGGCAAUUGUACCAUGGUCGAAGAUGAUGACCUGCUUGCGACUGGUUGCAGAUCCUUCUGCUGCAGGGGUCUUCUCUCAAGAUUCAGGGAUGAUGACUUAGGGCUCCGGAGAUCUUCUUGUGUUAUGGUUGUUUUAGGAUUCUGUAAGUGUUCAUGGUUCUUUGUGUUUGCGUUUCAGUGUGCUUGUAAGGGUCAACUUCUUUGUACUGAUUCGUGAUAUGAAUGAAAAACUUCUCAAAAAAAAAACGAAAUCAGUUGGUUAACGAAAUAUCAAUAUGUUGUACUGGGUUGAGAUUUUCGAGUUUUAGGUUUCCUAACCAAAACAAAAAACAAAUGGUAAAAAUGGGAAUUUCAAUUUCUACAAAUACUACCACCCUGAUGGGUGAUCUCAUCACUCCGGUCAAGCACCUAUUGGGUCGGCCCAAGCGUUCGUAGAUUUGAAAUAAGUUCAUCGAUGCUGAAAAAAUAUUCAUGUUGAAAUUUUUCAAAAAAAAAGUCCGUCAAAAAAGUUGAAAAAUAAGCUCGAGAAAUUGAAAAGGAUUGAAAAUUUUGAGAACUAAUUCAUGAUUUUUUUAUUUUAAAAGGUUCACACAUUUGAAAUAACAGGGGAAAAUAGAAAGGGAAACAAUGGAAUAAACUAAAGAAGGAAAACAAACCAGAGUAAAGCCCGGUUUUGAAAAACAUGAAAAACAGCCUAAAACUUCACGAAGUUACAUUUGCCACAUAAUAAGCCAGAAAGAAAGCAAGUGUUCAAGUUGUCUUCAUAAAAUUGUUCAGAAUGUUACUUCUUAAGUUAGCACGCUCCUCAUAUCUCCUUAAAAUUAUUGAAAAUGUUGUUCAAUAGAAUAUUCUUAACAUUUUGAACUAACAUAUCUCUUUAUUUUUUUUGGAAUGUUCAUGCUUUUAAAAAAAUGUUGCUCAAAAUUUUCAAAAUAUGUCAUGCUUCUAAAAUAAUGAAGUUUUUGAAAACUGUUGGAUUCUAAAACAUUAUUUGAUUUGUAAAAAUUAUUCAGAUUUUCCAACAAAUGUUUGAAUUUUUUGAAAAGGUACCUGAAUUCUUCAUUACUGCUAGUUCUUAAGUAUGCGGGCUCCUCGUUUUGCACAAACAUUAGUCAGCUUAACUGGUAUGCCACUCACCGUUGUUGCAAGAGAUCUGUGGUUAGAUUCCUAGCUGGUUCAUUUCUUUUAUGACUUUUUACACGAACAGGCGCGCUCCCUGCUGUUAGUUUUUAAGAUUUCACGGUCAUUCAUUAAGACAGUCAUCAGCUGGGUCAACUGGUGAGCCACUCACGCUUUUAGCAAGAGGUAUGCGGCUCGAAUCCUGGUAGUUACAAUUGUUUUGGGUUUCUUUUCAUUUUUUACUUCCAGUGAAGGGGCGUGCUUACUACAGCCAUCACCAUUGGGCCCGGCCCAGUCCGGCGGGGGCUGAGUGUCGUAUACAUGCUGGCGGAUAAAAAAAAAGACCGUCAACUGAAAAAACCCAUCAUAUGCUUUAUUAUGAAGGGAUAUAAACAGAUCUCCACUGUCGAUGUGUUUAGGGGGCUGAGUGUCGUAUACAUGCUGGCGGAUAAAAAAAAGACCAUCAUCAACUGAAAAAAACCAUCAUAUGCUUUAUUAUGAAGGGAUAUAAACAGAUCUCCACUGUCGAUGUGUUUAGGGGGUUGUAUCGAAGAAGAAGUGCACGAGGUAUUGUCUCAAUUCUAUAUAAAAGAUUGAGUGAUUUGAUACAUAUCAAAGGAGAAUUUGUUAAUUGAGUAUUAUCAUUCAUUCCUUUGAAUAAAUUGUCUGCUGCUCCAGGAUUAACAUGCCUCUAAAUCGACUUUCAUACCCAUGUUGAUACAGACAUUGAAGAAGCUCCACUUCUGCUUGCGGCCCGGGCGUCUCCCUCCAACACCGAACUGGGCCGCCCCAGCAACUCCAUGGCGUCCGUAAGCUCUGCACGCAGCAGACGUCGCCGCGCUCCCUCAGGCACCUGCGUCAAAAGGAGGCAGAGGCUGGUCAGCGUCAUCCAGCAUCGAGGAGGCCGGGGCGGGCAGGGCGAGCGAAGACUGGGAGGUUAGCUUGGCUAGCGGGGUGAGGUGCGGCAGCAGCGAGUGGGCUGAGGUGCAGCGGCGGCGCAGCACGGGUGAGGUGUGGUGUCGAUUCGAGGGAAAGGCUCGGGAUAGGAGAGAGAGGAUGCAGAUUUUUUUACGGGAAGGAUGUGUGAUGGUUCGCUUGGGUAGGGUUCGCUCCAGCUUGGGUGGGGGCUGUGGGCUGUGGGGUCGCGAAACGUAACGCGACGGACGAUACGUAGGGUCUAUCGACUUUUUUCCUUACACGUGAACUAUUUUUAAACCUUAGCCAUUAAUUUUUGAGGUUUACACAAAAUCAAUGAAUAUAAAUGGAUGACGUAUGAAAGCUUCCAUCCUUUCUUAUUAGGAAAAGAUUUGGGAAUUCAAGCCUGGUCAGCAGUCAUCUGCUCAUCUCAAUGUUAAGCUCUCUCACCCUGCACGCAACUGCUUAGAAGGGGCAGCUUAGUGUUACAAUCUCCAUUUUUAUUUUGCUCAAAUCAAAAGGAAAUUGCUUUGCUAAUUUCAAAACUGUUUGAGUGAUACAUUGUUUUUUAGGUUGGUAAGCGAAAAUUUAUUUAUUUGCACCCGUUGCAACGCAUGGGUCUUUUGCUAGUCUCUACUGAAGCAUAAUAGUCCAGAUACAAAGCAUGUUUGUACUUUGUACCAACGCGCCGUUUUGGAUGCAAAGCACAAUCCGUCGCAUAUCAGAGGUCUGUGUCACCUUACAGCAACGUAGAAUGAAUACCGAACUAUGUUCAGAGUCCACGGUCUUUUAAGAAGGGGCUAACAGUUGAGGACAUGAUUCAUGCUGUGUCUUUAUGCUCCUAGCUGAGCAAUGAUUUUCUUUCUUGAAUAUACACAAGCAUGGUUGCAUGUGUUCCGUUGUUCAUUUAUCCUGGAGUGUACUAAAACCAGUUGUUUGGGAUAAAGAGAUCAGAUAUAGAGAGAGGCAUGGGAAUCAAAUAAAUAAGCAGGCCAGCCCAGGGUUUGGUUCUUUUGUCAUCAAUGGAGACUAAGGAAUAAGGAGGAUGGUCGCACAAGCGAUAACGACGAAAAUUGGGUCUAGGUUUGUGCCAGGAAUGGGCUAUCCUUGGAGCCCCAGAGCUAGCAGCGCUGAUAUAGUAAGUUUUGUUCAUUCAUGUUGCAUAUGGUUAUUUCACAACUUAUGAACACAAAUCUGCAAACACAAAAUCACCAAGCCUAAGAUAACAGAUGACAAAAUGAAAUCAAAUCACAAGUGCACCAAAAAUGUACGCUCAAUAUAUAUUCUAACAUGCAUCUUGCACGAAUAUUUUAUUACUGGACACAUCAUUGUACAUUGUUCAACAUGAUGGGGUAGACACAUUCUAGUCAUUGCAUACUAUGCAAUGACAACUCCAAAGGGAAGCGUUGACAGGUACACAAUAAGCUUUCUUGGUGUGAUCUCCCCAGGAAUCUCGGCAGGCAUUCUGGCAACCUAAUUCUAUGCAAAUAAUGCCGGAAUAAGGAACGUGCACUUCACACAUUUCUGUAGACACGAAUAUACAUCAUUAAAACAAGUCCAAAUUGAGAAAGUUCUAAGGAAAUCCAUGCAGUUCAGCUAACAGUACUAGUUUACUCUGGGUGGCAUUGGAAA